UACGGGGGGGGCAAGCGUUGUUCGGAAUUACUGGGCGUAAAGGGCGCGUAGGCGGCCUGCUAAGUCGGAUGUGAAAUCCCUCGGCUCAACCGAGGAACUGCAUCCGAUACUGGCGGGCUUGAAUCCGGGAGAGGGAUGUGGAAUUCCAGGUGUAGCGGUGAAAUGCGUAGAUAUCUGGAGGAACACCAAUGGCGAAGGCAGCUCGCUGGGACGGUACUGACGCUGAGACGCGAAAGCGUGGGGAGCAAACAGG
rnacentral:rRNA from 1 species